rnacentral:tRNA from 1 species
GGGAUUGUGGCUCAGAGGUAGAGCACUCGCCUACCAUGUGUGAGACACUGGGUUCAAUCCUCAGCACCA